AUCGUCCAUCAUCGGCAUCAGGAUCUUAAAGGCCCUAAAAUGAUUUCCACUUGCUGAGUCUUGUGGGCGUCGCCAAUGAUUUCACGAGCCAUGGAACCAAGCACAUGCACCAUGGAGGGGACGUACGCUUGCACAUGCCCUGCGCAGCCGCUUCUCCAGGAGACCAAAAUCCACGUCCGUCGGCGCCACGGCAAGCAACAGGGAGACCUCCAUCGGAAGCAUGUGUAUGAUUGAUUACCUGAGUGAAGCCAGGGGUUGGGGAGUUACAUGUGCAAAUGAGUUGGACGUCGGACGCACUCACAUGGGAUGCACCCGUGCCACCUUUUCUUGGACCACGGACAACACUAAUUUAUGUCAUCUUCGGUCGGCCCAAGUGACAUCGGAUUCCAUGGGGAGUGAGUUGAAAGGCAUUGGACUGCGACUAGAAAUUGCAACCAGUGGAAAGACUUUGCAUCUUUGUCAGAGAGCAGGGCAAGGGAACAGGGUCAGAGGAUCGAUCCUCCAGUUAUUUUUGUCAGUCAGAAAGGUGGAUCUCACGAGGGAUUUCUUUGUCCUUUUCUUCACGUAAGAAGACAUUUUCUUGAUCAGGUCGACUCUCUUUAAGCAGAACACACAAGAUAUGGGAUGAGCUUUGGAUACAAGUGAUGUGCAAGUAGGAAUCACUAUGCAAAAAGGAAUCCCAUGAUGCAGUAAGUUCUAAGACCUGGAUAGCUGGUUGAAAGACAACUUCAGUUGGUGUACAUGCAUGCAGUGUAAGGAAAGUAUUCUUCAGACUUAGAGUACAUAUGAUGGUGGAGAUGGAGAAGUAAUGCUGACAGUACUGCUGUGGAGACACUAACUUGACUUGCAGCCAAUUAGAUGUAUUAUGAAAAGCUGUUAUCUGGAUAAAUUGUGUCUAAUCCUUUUCCUGAUGUGAUACUGUGUGUCCUCAGAAAGAACAUAUUCACAUCAAACAGCUCAUAGCUUCAUGCUAUGUCAUGUAUGGCGCAUGCAGAUCUGCAUUUUGUCCUCAAGAUUAUUUUUCUAGAUCAGAACAUCCAAAAGGCCAAGCCUUGCUUAAACUUGUUUGGAUUAGAUUCUAAAGCUUAUUCAUUUUGCAAGUGAAAACUCAACUUGUGCAUCUUGUUGAACUUUUAGUAAAUGCAAGUGUG
rnacentral:lncRNA from 1 species